GUCCAAGGUUCUAGUCGGGGCAAAUUUUAGACCUUUUCAAAGUAUUUUUUGUUGGGGUAUGGAUAGUGUUCUACUUGUUAAAUUAAAUAUGUCGGUCUGAUUUACUGUCUGUCUUUCUUUCCUCUUUUGUACACAAAUUCCUCCUCUAAUUCCCCUUCUUCUAAUGGUCUCCUCCGUUUGCCUGGUGAUUUUGGUGAUGUAUGGGGUACUUUGUGCCUCUCUCUCUCUUUUAGUUCCUAAAAAUCCUCUUGUCUAGAGUCUCGAUCUAAAUGGGAGUAUUUGUUAUACGAUAAAACACUGUCAUCUA